rnacentral:lncRNA from 1 species
AUAGGAAUCUUUAGAAGAAAGUUAAGAGUAAAUUCUAGAAAAAAGUUACUUAAAAAAACUAGAUAUUGAUACCCGGAGAGGGCCGGUUAUGAACCAGGGUCGAAAUCAGACCCUGAGGCACAAAACCGAGUCUCGACGACGACUCCGGGACUCUUUGGCAGAUCGGAGAGUGGGAUUUGAGAGAAUAUUGGAUAGGGUUUCUAUGGGCGUUGAUUUUGGGUGAUUUGGAGUUGAUAUGAAUUUGUAAGAGCUUUGCAAAGUUGAGUUUUUUUUUCAGAUGACUUGGGUUUUAUGAAAUAAAAUAGGGUUUAUGUUUUGAGUGAUUUCAAGAGUUUUGUUGCAGAUCUAUGGGUGAAUUUUUUUGAAUUCAUGGUUAUAGUUAUGUUGAAUACAUGUUGUAAAUUGAUCUAACGGUUGAACUAAGAGAUAUUAAGGUUUAAGUGAGUCAAGGUCUCAGAAAGUAGAAUUUUAGGUCCAGUGAGGGUUUUUAAUAUUUCAAGCAAUCUACUGGUUGGAUUGGAGUAAAACUUGUGUGAGAGGAUAUUAGACUUGUUUUCCUAUGUCCAUGAGAAAUUUGAAACCAAUCGAACGGCGCAAAGAAGAGAAAUUGGCUUUGGAAGGUUGGCAACAAGAUUGGAGAAGGAGCCCGGCUAACACCCGAACACAUUUUUGAGGUUUUCGUCAAUUUGGAGACUCCGAUCUUUUUCAAAAGUUUUUUUGCUUGUUUUGAACUUGAUUUUUAAGAAGUGUGAAAAUUUUGAAUUGAGAUCAACGGUUUGUUCAUUAGAUAUUGAGGUUUAAAUCUGUCAUAGGAAUUAUUAGGAUUU